rnacentral:lncRNA from 1 species
CAGGAAGAGUAGGAGGAACUGAAGCCUGGAACGUCCACUCCUGGGUCGCUUCCUCGGGAGCAUGUCGCAGCCACUCGCCACGAAGCAACAGGUCCUGAUCAAGUUUGCUUCCUCCUUGCUAUCCAGGGAGGAGACCUUUGUGGACGUCUAAGGAGACAAGAGGAACAGAGUGGGAUAUCUGCUUUCCUGGACCAGAAAUGGAUCACAUUGCUUCCUGUCAGAAUUGUAGGCCCAGGAAAGAAAUGUCACGAAGAAAAUAUUCUUUCUGUAGUGGAGAGCUCUGGGAAGAACAAUGGCUGCCAUGUGGGGAGACACUGAGUGUGACUGGGCUAUUGAAGAC